rnacentral:lncRNA from 1 species
AUUUAAGGAGGCAGAAGAGAGCUGCAAGGUGACUGCAGCUGGCCCCGUGGGCUGUGUCCUUAGACUGAGCCAAGCUUUGGGCUUCCCCUCUCCCUGCCUCAGGGAGGCCAGUGGGGCAGGCAAAGGCUGGUAUCACCAUCCAUCACAGCGUGACAGCCCGAGGGAGCACAGGGCCCAUUCCGGAGGACACUUUCAAUCAACUUUGGUUCAGCUUAUUCCCUCUGAAUGACUCUGGGAUGUAAAUAAAAUUAAGUCAAUGCUACUGCGUUUGUCUCUAGCUGGGGUGAUAAUGGGCUGGAGAGAUGCUGCUGCCACUGAGGACCGCAGUUUAAACAAACAGCAGCCUGGUGGGCUUUUCGACUAUUGGCACUGGGGGAAACAGCCAAGUACUGUCUGGUACCUGCAGCCACAUGUGCCUCAGGGUGACUAGGAAUAGAGAACCAACACACAAUAAGCUUCCUCCUCCUCUUCUAUCUCCUCCUCCUCUUCUUCCUCUUCCUCCUCCUUUGUCUUCUCCUUCUUUUCUUCCUCUUCCUCUUCCUCUUCCUCCUCCUCCUCCUUCUUUUGGGUUUUCAAGGCAGGGUCUCUGUGUAGCCCUGGUUGUUCUGAAACUCAGGAUGCUGCCUGCUUCUGCCUCCUGGGUGCUAAGAUUAAAAUGUGCAUACUACCACCACCAUUCAGGUUUCAACACAGAAUCUUAAACUUAACUUUAAAACACCAUCAGAAUUUUAAAUGAUUUUUAUAUAU